rnacentral:rRNA from 1 species
UACGGAGGGUGCAAACGUUGCUCGGAAUCAUUGGGCGUAAAGCGCACGUAGGCGGGUUUUCAAGUCGGAUGUGAAAUCCCUCGGCUUAACCGAGGACGUGCAUUCGAAACUGAUCACCUUGAGUAUGGAAGAGGGUCGCGGAAUUCCCGGUGUAGAGGUGAAAUUCGUAGAUAUCGGGAGGAACACCAGUGGCGAAGGCGGCGACCUGGGCCAAUACUGACGCUGAGGUGCGAAAGCGUGGGGAGCAAACAGG